GCCCAGAUAGCUCAGUUGGUAGAGCAGCGGAUUGAAAAUACGCGUGUCGCUGGUUCGAUUCCGGCUCUGGGCA
rnacentral:tRNA from 1 species